rnacentral:rRNA from 1 species
UACGUAGGGUGCGAGCGUUAAUCGGAAUUACUGGGCGUAAAGCGUGCGCAGGCGGCUUUGCAAGUCAGAUGUGAAAUCCCCGGGCUUAACCUGGGAACUGCAUUUGUGACUGCAUGGCUGGAGUGCGGCAGAGGGGGAUGGAAUUCCGCGUGUAGCAGUGAAAUGCGUAGAUAUGCGGAGGAACACCGAUGGCGAAGGCAAUCCCCUGGGCCUGCACUGACGCUCAUGCGCGAAAGCGUGGGGAGCAAACAGG